rnacentral:rRNA from 1 species
UACGUAGGGUGCAAGCGUUAAUCGGAAUUACUGGGCGUAAAGCGUGCGCAGGCGGUUUUGCAAGUCCGGUGUGAAAUCCCCGGGCUUAACCUGGGAAUGGCAUUGGUGACUGCAUGGCUAGAGUGUGUCAGAGGGGGGUAGAAUUCCACGUGUAGCAGUGAAAUGCGUAGAGAUGUGGAGGAAUACCGAUGGCGAAGGCAGCCCCCUGGGAUAACACUGACGCUCAUGCACGAAAGCGUGGGGAGCAAACAGG